GCCUUCGCAGUGUAGUGGUCAGCACGCUGGGCGCGUAUUUGAGAGGUCCGUGGUUCGAAUCCUAGCGAGGGCA
rfam:Stegodyphus mimosarum contig16872, whole genome shotgun sequence.